rnacentral:rRNA from 2 species
UGCUGGAGGUAUCAGAAGUGCGAAUGCUGACAUAAGUAACGAUAAAGCGGGUGAAAAGCCCGCUCGCCGGAAGACCAAGGGUUCCUGUCCAACGUUAAUCGGGGCAGGGUGAGUCGACCCCUAAGGCGAGGCCGAAAGGCGUAGUCGAUGGGAAACAGGUUAAUAUUCCUGUACUUGGUGUUACUGCGAAGGGGGGACGGAGAAGGCUAUGUUAGCCGGGCGACGGUUGUCCCGGUUUAAGCAUGUAGGCUGGUUGUCCAGGCAAAUCCGGAUAAUCAAGGCUGAGGUGUGAUGACGAGGCACUACGGUGCUGAAGUAACAAAUGCCCUGCUUCCAGGAAAAGCCUCUAAGCAUCAGGUAACAUCAAAUCGUACCCCAAACCGACACAGGUGGUCAGGUAGAGAAUACCAAGGCGCUUGAGAGAACUCGGGUGAAGGAACUAGGCAAAAUGGUGCCGUAACUUCGGGAGAAGGCACGCUGGUGUGUAGGUGAAGUCCCUGCGGAUGGAGCUGAGACCAGUCGAAGAUACCAGCUGGCUGCAACUGUUUAUUAAAAACACAGCACUGUGCAAACACGAAAGUGGACGUAUACGGUGUGACGCCUGCCCGGUGCCGGAAGGUUAAUUGAUGGGGUUAUCCGUAAGGAGAAGCUCUUGAUCGAAGCCCCGGUAAACGGCGGCCGUAACUAUAACGGUCCUAAGGUAGCGAAAUUCCUUGUCGGGUAAGUUCCGACCUGCACGAAUGGCGUAAUGAUGGCCAGGCUGUCUCCACCCGAGACUCAGUGAAAUUGAACUCGCUGUGAAGAUGCAGUGUACCCGCGGCAAGACGGAAAGACCCCGUGAACCUUUACUAUAGCUUGACACUGAACAUUGAGCCUUGAUGUGUAGGAUAGGUGGGAGGCUUUGAAGCGUGGACGCCAGUCUGCGUGGAGCCAACCUUGAAAUACCACCCUUUAAUGUUUGAUGUUCUAACGUUGGCCCCUUACCGGGGUUGCGGACAGUGUCUGGUGGGUAGUUUGACUGGGGCGGUCUCCUCCCAAAGCGUAACGGAGGAGCACGAAGGUUAGCUAAUCCUGGUCGGACAUCAGGAGGUUAGUGCAAUGGCAUAAGCUAGCUUGACUGCGAGCGUGACGGCGCGAGCAGGUGCGAAAGCAGGUCAUAGUGAUCCGGUGGUUCUGAAUGGAAGGGCCAUCGCUCAACGGAUAAAAGGUACUCCGGGGAUAACAGGCUGAUACCGCCCAAGAGUUCAUAUCGACGGCGGUGUUUGGCACCUCGAUGUCGGCUCAUCACAUCCUGGGGCUGAAGUAGGUCCCAAGGGUAUGGCUGUUCGCCAUUUAAAGUGGUACGCGAGCUGGGUUUAGAACGUCGUGAGACAGUUCGGUCCCUAUCUGCCGUGGGCGCUGGAGAAUUGAGGGGGGCUGCUCCUAGUACGAGAGGACCGGAGUGGACGCAUCACUGGUGUUCGGGUUGUCAUGCCAAUGGCACUGCCCGGUAGCUAAAUGCGGAAGAGAUAAGUGCUGAAAGCAUCUAAGCACGAAACUUGCCCCGAGAUGAGUUCUCCCUGAGACUUUAAGUCUCCUGAAGGAACGUUGAAGACGACGACGUUGAUAGGCCGGGUGUGUAAGCGCAGCGAUGCGUUGAGCUAACCGGUACUAAUGAACCGUGAGGCUUAACCUU